UACGGAGGGUGCAAGCGUUAAUCGGAAUUACUGGGCGUAAAGCGCACGUAGGUGGUUUGUUAAGCUAGCUGUGAAAUCCCCGGGCGUCAACCUGGGCGACUGCAGUUAGAACUGGCAAGCUAGAGUAGGUAGAGGGUGUGAUCAGUGUAGCGGUGAAUGCGUAGAUAUGUGGAGGAACACCAGUGGCGAAGGCGACCACCUGGACUGAUACUGACACUGAGGUGCGAAAGCGUGGGGAGCAAACAGGAUUAGAAACCCCGGUAGU
rnacentral:rRNA from 1 species